AGGCCCUGAGUGCGCGUGCGCGGGGCGGACGGGUGCGCGCGCACUUCCUCCUCGCCCCCACCCAGACCCAGAAGGCGGCACCAUGGCGGCGCCCCCGCCGCAGCCCGUCACCCACCUCAUCUUUGACAUGGACGGACUUCUUCUGGAUACUGAACAGCUGUAUUCAGUGGUGUUUCAAGAAAUAUGUGAUCGCUAUGACAAGAAAUACAGCUGGGAUGUAAAGUCCCUGGUUAUGGGUAAGAAGGCAUUAGAGGCGGCACAGAUUAUAAUAGACGUCUUGCAGCUCCCAAUGUCCAAAGAGGAGCUGGUGGAAGAAAGCCAAACAAAGUUAAAGGAAGUGUUCCCCACGGCUGCGCUCAUGCCAGGGGCUGAGAAACUCAUCAUCCACCUGCGGAAACACGGCAUCCCCUUUGCGCUGGCCACCAGCUCGGGGUCCGCAUCGUUCGAGAUGAAGACGAGCCACCACCAGGAGUUCUUCAGCUUGUUUUCCCACAUUGUGCUGGGAGAUGACCCCGAAGUGCAGCAUGGCAAGCCAGACCCAGACAUCUUCCUAGCUUGUGCCAAGAGGUUCUCUCCCCCUCCUGCUAUGGAAAAGAAAGAACAUUACAUGGCAUUGCCUACUGAAGAUGGGACUUAGCACAAAAACCAUCAUGGAUUCCAUCAAAGAGAUCAUUAAUGUCUCAAAACGUCUCCAAGGAUACAUGAUCUACAAAGGACCACAGAGUGCCCUGCAGAAUUGGGUUGAAAAACUAAAGAAGGCAAAUAGAGUUUAUGUAAGGCGGCAGUCUCUGGUCCCCAUGGUGAGAUUGGGUUCUUCCUGCCUGUUCCUGGAGUGGCAUGGAGAAAAGAGCAUGGAUUUGCAGAAGAGACACUUGAGAGAGAGGUAGGAAACUCUGUAUUUAUUUAAAUGCAAGCUCAAAUAUUGCAAAUUUAGUAAAACAUGUGGGAAGAGUUCUUUUACAGAGCAAUUUUCUGUUGCCUAGGAUAUAAAUCGUUAGAGUUUUUCUGUGUAGUGAUUGGCAUUUACAAAUAAGAACCUUCCCUGUUUUGCAAGGUUACAUGUUAGUUAAUGUUUGCAAUGCCUCUUGAGUGGCUAAUUAUUUUGUUUAUAUUCCAUGCUCAAAAAAUCAGAGGGGAGGAGUUUCACCUCAGGCUUUGGCUCUGAGAACAGUACAGCAGAAGCUUUGAUUUUCAUCUACAGAAAGUAAUAGGGGGUUGAAGUCUCCAAAUGACCAGAGGUCAGAUGCCCCUUGAUGCUGUGUUGUUCUUUAAGUGGAACCCACAUUCAGAAUUCUCUAAGGAAGGAGCUGGGACAGAGGUGCUAAACUCUGCCUCAAAAAAGAUCUUGGGUGGCUGGCGAGAUGACUGAAUAGGAACAGCUCCAGUCUGCAGCUCCCAGUGAGAUCAAUGCAAAAGGCAGAUGAUUUCUGCAUUUCCAAUUGAGGUACCCAGCUCAUCUCAUUGGGACUGGUUAGACAGUGGGUGCGGCCCAUGGAGGGUGAGCAGAAACAGGGUGGGGCGUUGCCUCACCCAGGAAGUGCGAGAGGUUGGGGAACUCCAUCCUCUAGCCAAGGGAAGCUGUGAGGGACUGUGCCGUGAGGAAUGGUGCAUUCUGGCCCAGAUUCUAUGCUUUUCCCAUGGUCUUUGCAACCCGCAGACCAGGAGAUUCCCUCAGGUAUCUAUACCACCAGGGUCCUGGGUUUCAAGCACAAAACUGGGCAGCCGUUUGGGUAGACACCGAGCUAGCUGCAGGAGAUUUUUUUCAUACCCCAGUGGCUCCUGGAAUGCCAGCAAGACAGAACCGUUCACUCCACUGGAAAGAGGGCUGAAGCCAGGCAGCCAAGUGGCCUAGAUCAGUGGAUGCCACCCCCAUGGAGCCCAGCUAGUUAAGAUCCACUUGCUUGAAAUUCUCGCUGCUGGCACAGCAGUCUGAGGUCAACCUAGGACACUCGAACUUGGUUGGGGGAGGGACAUCUACCAUUACUUAGGCUUGAGUAGGCGGUUUUCCCCUCACACUGUAAACAAAGCUGCUGGGAAGUUCAGAUGGGGCAGAGCUCACUGGCUGCAAAGCUGCUGCAGCCAGACUGCCUCACUAGAUUCCUCCUCUCUGGGCAGGGCAUCUCUGAAAGAAAGGCAGCAGCCCAAGUCAGGGGCCUGUAUAUGAAACUCCCAUCUCCCUGAGACAGAGCACCUGGGGGAAGGGGCGGCUGUGGGCGCAGCUUCAGCAUUCCUGCCUGCUGGCUCUGAAGAGAACAGUAGAUCUCCCAGCACAGUGCUCAAGCUCUGCUAAGGGUCAGACUGCCUCCUCAAGUGGGUCCUUAUCCCCUGUGCCUCCUGACUGGGAGACACAUCCCAGUAGGGGUCAACAGACACCUCAUACAGGAGAGCUCUGGCUGGCAUCUGGCGGGUGCCCCUCUGGGAUGAAGCUUCCAGAGGAAGGAACAGGCAGCAAUCUUUGCUGUUCUGCAGCCUCCACUGGUGAUACCCAGGCAAAUAGGGUCUGGAGUGGACCUCUAGCAAACUCCAGCAGACCUGCAGAAGAGGAGCCUGACUGUUAGAAGAAAAACUAACAAACAGAAAGGAAUAGCAUCAACAUCAACAAAAAGGAUGUCCACACAAAAACCCCAUCUGAAGGUCACCAACAUCAAAGACCAAAGGUAGAUAAAUCCACAAAGAUGAGGAAAAACCAGUGCAAAAAGGCUGAAAAUUCCAAAAACCAGAACGCCUCUUCUCCAAAGGAUCACAACUCCUCGCCAGCAAGGGAACCAAACUGGACAGAGAAUGAGUUUGAUGAAUUGACAGAAGUAGGCUUCAGAAAGUGGGUAAUAACAAACUCCUCUGAGCUAAAGGAACAUGUUCUAACCCAAUGGAAGGAAGCUAAGAACCUCGAAAAAAGGUUAAAGGAAUUGCUAACUAGAAUAACCAGUUUAGAGAAGAACAUAAAUGACCUAAUGGAGCUGAAAAACACAGCAUGAGAACUUUUAUGAAGCAUAAACAAGUAUCAAUAGCCGAAUCGAUCAAGCAGAAGAAAGGAUAUCAGAGAUUGAAGAUCAGCUUAAUGAAAUAAAGUGUGAAGACAAGAUUAGAGAAGAAAGAAUGAAAAGGAACGAACAAGGCUCCAAGAAAUAUGGGACUAUGUGAAAAGACCUAACUUACAUUUGAUGGGUGUACCUGAAAAUGACGGGGAAAAUGGAACCAAGUUGGAAAACACUCUUCAGGUUAUUAUCCAGGAGAAAUUCCCCAACCUAGCAAGACAGGCCAACAUUAAAAUUCAGGAAAUACAGAGAACACCACAAAGAUACUCCUUGAGAAGAGCAACCCCAAGACACAUAAUCAUCAGAUUCACCAAGGUUGAAAUGAAGGAGAAAAUGUUAAGGGCAGCCAGAGAGAAAGGUCGGGUUACCCACAAAGGGAAGCCCAUCAGACUAACAGUGGAUCUCUCUGCAGAAACACUGCAAGCCAGAAGAGAGUGGGGGCCAAUAUUCAACACUCUUAAAUAAAAGAAUUUUCAACCCAGAAUUUCAUAUCCAGUCAAACUAAGCUUCAUAAGUGAAGAAGAAACAAAAUCCUUUACAGACAAGCAAUUGCUGAGAGAUUUUGUCACCACCAGGCCUGCCUUACAAGAGCUCUUGAAGGAAGCACUAAAUAUGGAAAGGAAAAACCAGUACCAGCCACUGCAAAAACAUAGCAAAUUGUAAAGACCAUUGACACUAUGAAGAAACUGCAUCAACUACAUCAACUAACUGGCAAAAUAACCACCUGGCAUCAUAAUGACAGGAUCAGAUUCACACAUAACAAUAUUAACCUUAUAUGUAAAUGGGCUAAAUGUCCCAAUAAAAAGACACAGACUGGUAAAUUGGAUAAAGAGUCAAGACCCAUCAGUGUGCUGUAUACAGCAUACCCAUCUCACAUGCAAAGACACACAUAGGCUCAAAAUAAAGAGAUGGAGGAAUAUUUACCAAGCAAAUGGAAAGCAGAAAACAGCAGGGGUUGCAAUCCUAGUCCCUGAUGAAACAGACUUUAAACCAACAAAGCUCAAAAAGGACAAAGAAGGGCAUUACAUAAUGAUAAAGGGAUCAAUUCAACAAGAAGAGCUAACUAUCCUAAAUAUAUGUGCACCCAAUACAGGAGCACCCAGAUUCAUAAAGCACGUUCUUAGAGACCUACAAAGACUUGGACUCCCACACAAUAAUAGUGGGAGACUUUAACACCCCACUGUCAAUAUUAGACAGAUCAACAAGACAGAAUAUAAACAAGGAUAUUCAGGACUUGAACUCAGCCCUGGACCAAGCAGACCUGAUAGACAUCUACAAAACUCUCCACCCCAAAUCAACAGAAUAUACAUUCUUCUCAACACCACAUCACACUUAUUCUAAAAUUGACCACAUAAUUGGAAGUAAAACACUUCACAAAUGCAAAAGAAUGGAAAUCAUAACAGUCUCUCAGACCACAGUGCAAUCAAAUUAGAACUCAGGAUUAAGAAACUCACUCAAAACUGCACAACUACAUGGAAACUAAACAACCUGCUUGUAAAUGACUACUGGGUAAAUAAUGUAAUUAAGGCAGAAAUAAAUAAGUUCUUUAAAACCAAUGAGAACAAAGACACAACAUACAAGUAUCUAUAGGACACAGCUAAAGCAGUGUUUCGAGGGAAAUUUAUAGCACUAAAUGCCCACAGGAGAAAGUGGGAAAGAUCCAAAAUUGACACCCUAACAUCACAAUGAAAAGAACUAGAGAAGCAAGAGCAAACAAAUUCAAAAGCUAGCAGAAGACAAGAAAUAACUAAAAUCAGAGCAGAACUGAAGGAGAUAGAGACAUGAAAAACCCUUCAAAAAAUCAAUGAAUCCAGGAGCUGGUUUUUUGACAAGAUAAACAAAAUAGAUAGACUGCUAGCCAGACUAAUAAAGAAGAAAA